rnacentral:rRNA from 1 species
UGGAAUCGCUAGUAAUCGCGGAUCAGCAUGCCGCGGUGAAUACGUUCCCGGGCCUUGUACACACCGCCCGUCAUACCAUGAGAGUCGGGAACACCCGAAGUCCGUAGCCUGACCGCAAGGGGGCGCGGCCGAAGGUGGGUUCGAUAAUUGGGGUGAAGUCGUAACAAGGUAAC